UUAAGUGACUAAGCGUACAAGGUGGAUGCCUUGGCAAUCAGAGGCGAAGAAGGACGUGCUAAUCUGCGAAAAGCUUGGAUGAGUCGAUAAGAGGCGUUUAAUCCAAGAUAUCCGAAUGGGGAAACCCAGUAGAUGAAGAAUCUACUAUCAACAAGUGAAUUCAUAGCUUGUUGAGGCAAACCGGGAGAACUGAAACAUCUAAGUACCCCGAGGAAAAGAAAUCAACCGAGAUUUCGUCAGUAGCGGCGAGCGAAAGCGAAAGAGCCAGUAAGUGAUAGCAAUAUAGUUAGGAGAAUGUGUUGGGAAGCACAAUCAAAGAGGGUGAUAAUCCCGUAUCUAAAAACCAUAUUGUGGUACUAAGCUAACGAGAAGUAGGGCGGGACACGUGAUAUCCUGUUUGAAGAAGGGGGGACCAUCCUCCAAGGCUAAAUACUCCUGAUUGACCGAUAGUGAACCAGUACUGUGAAGGAAAGGCGAAAAGAACCCCGGUGAGGGGAGUGAAAUAGAACCUGAAACCUUGUACGUACAAGCAGUGGGAGCCCCAUCACUUAAUCCGAUUGGAAGGUGAUGAAAAGCAACCGCACUUAAACAAUGGUAAGAGGAGCGAAGCGAGUCAAACCACCCAAAAGAAGCAGUGGGAUUAAGUGAUGGGGUGACUGCGUACCUUUUGUAUAAUGGGUCAGCGACUUAUAUUUUGUAGCGAGGUUAACCGAAUAGGGGAGCCGAAGGGAAACCGAGUCUUAACUGGGCGUUGAGUUGCAGGGUAUAGACCCGAAACCCGGUGAUCUAGCCAUGGGCAGGUUGAAGGUUGGGUAACACUAACUGGAGGACCGAACCGACUAAUGUUGAAAAAUUAGCGGAUGACUUGUGGCUGGGGGUGAAAGGCCAAUCAAACCGGGAGAUAGCUGGUUCUCCCCGAAAUCUAUUUAGGUAGAGCCUUGAGGUGACACCUUUGGGGGUAGAGCACUGUUUCGGCUAGGGGUCCAUCCCGGAUUACCAACCCGAUGCAAACUACGAAUACCAAAGAGUGAUACUCAGGAGACACACGGCGGGUGCUAACGUCCGUCGUGGAGAGGGAAACAACCCAGACCGCCAGCUAAGGUCCCCAAGUCUAUAUUAAGUGGGAAACGAAGUGGGAAGGCUUAGACAGCUAGGAUGUUGGCUUAGAAGCAGCCAUCAUUUAAAGAAAGCGUAAUAGCUCACUAGUCGAGUCGGUCUGCGCGGAAGAUGUAACGGGGCUGAAAUAUAGCACCGAAGCUGCGGCAUCAGGCGUAUCACUAAUACGCCUGUUGGGUAGGGGAGCGUUGUGUAAGCGGAUGAAGGUUCAUCGAGAGGUGGGCUGGACGUAUCACAAGUGCGAAUGCUGACAUAAGUAACGAUAAAACGGGUGAAAAACCCGUUCGCCGGAAGACCAAGGGUUCCUGUCCAACGUUAAUCGGGGCAGGGUAAGUCGGCUCCUAAGGCGAGGCUGAAAAGCGUAGUCGAUGGGAAACAGGUUAAUAUUCCUGUACUUGGUAAAGCUGCGAUGUGGGGACGGAGUAGGUUAGGUUAUCGCACUGUUGGAUAUGUGCGUUUAAGUUGGUAGGUGGGAAGUUUAGGCAAAUCCGGACUUCCUUAACACAGAGAGAUGAUGACGAGGCUCUACGGAGCUGAAGUAACUGAUACCACACUUCCAGGAAAAGCCACUAAGCGAAAGGCUUUACUAAACCGUACUGAAAACCGACACAGGUGGUCAGGUAGAGAAUACUCAGGCGCUUGAGAGAACUCGGGUGAAGGAACUAGGCAAAAUAGCACCGUAACUUCGGGAGAAGGUGCGCCGGCGUAGAUUGUAAGGGCUAGCCCCUGAAGGUUGAACCGGUCGAAGUGACCAGCUGGCUGCAACUGUUUAUUAAAAACACAGCACUCUGCAAACACGAAAGUGGAGGUAUAGGGUGUGAUGCCUGCCCGGUGCUGGAAGGUUAAUUGAUGGUGUCAUCGCAAGAGAAGCACCUGAUCGAAGCCCCAGUAAACGGCGGCCGUAACUAUAACGGUCCUAAGGUAGCGAAAUUCCUUGUCGGGUAAGUUCCGACCUGCACGAAUGGCAUAAUGAUGGCCAGGCUGUCUCCACCCGAGACUCAGUGAAAUUGAAAUCGCCGUGAAGAUGCGGUGUACCCGCGGCUAGACGGAAAGACCCCGUGAACCUUUACUAUAGCUUGACACUGAACAUUGAAUUUUGAUGUGUAGGAUAGGUGGGAGACUAAGAAGAUGAUACGCCAGUAUUGUUGGAGUCGACCUUGAAAUACCACCCUUUAACGUUUGAUGUUCUAACGAAGAUUGCGGAACGUGGUCUCGGACAGUGUCUGGUGGGUAGUUUGACUGGGGCGGUCUCCUCCCAAAGCGUAACGGAGGAGCACGAAGGUUUGCUAAUCACGGUCGGACAUCGUGAGGUUAGUGCAAUGGUAUAAGCAAGCUUAACUGCGAGACAGACAAGUCGAGCAGGUACGAAAGUAGGUCAUAGUGAUCCGGUGGUUCUGAAUGGAAGGGCCAUCGCUCAACGGAUAAAAGGUACUCCGGGGAUAACAGGCUGAUACCGCCCAAGAGUUCAUAUCGACGGCGGUGUUUGGCACCUCGAUGUCGGCUCAUCACAUCCUGGGGCUGAAGUAGGUCCCAAGGGUAUGGCUGUUCGCCAUUUAAAGUGGUACGCGAGCUGGGUUUAGAACGUCGUGAGACAGUUCGGUCCCUAUCUGCCGUGGGCGUAGGAGAAUUGGUUGGGGCUGCUCCUAGUACGAGAGGACCGGAGUGGACGCACCACUGGUGUUCCGGUUGUGUCGCCAGACGCAUUGCCGGGUAGCUAAGUGCGGAAGAGAUAAGUGCUGAAAGCAUCUAAGCACGAAACUUGCCAAGAGAUGAGUUCUCCCAAUCUAAGAGAUAGUAAGGGUUGUUGUAGACUACGACGUAGAUAGGUCAGGUGUGUAAGUGUAGUGAUACAUUGAGCUAACAGAUACUAAUUGCCCGAGAGGCUUAACUAU
rnacentral:rRNA from 1 species